rfam:TPA: Bos taurus chromosome 8, whole genome shotgun sequence.
UCCCUGAUGGUCCAGUGGCCAAAACUCUACACUUCCAAUGCAGGGGACCAGGUUCAACCCCUGGUAAGGGAG